CUCUUUUGUAUUUUAGUGGCCUCUCUGAGAAAACAAGCAAAUAAGUUAAAACUUUCAACAACGGAUCUCUUGGUUCUGGCAUCGAUGAAGAACGCAGCGAAAUGCGAUAAGUAAUGUGAAUUGCAGAAUUCAGUGAAUCAUCGAAUCUUUGAACGCACAUUGCGCCCGCUAGUACUCUAGCGGGCAUGCCUGUUCGAGCGUCAUUUCAACCCUCAAGCCCUGCUUGGUGUUGGGGUCCUACGGCUGCCGUAGGCCCUGAAAACUAGUGGCGGGCUCGCUAUAACUCCGAGCGUAGUAGUAAAAUAUCUCGCUAGGGAGGUGUCGCGGGUUCCGGCCGUGAAAGCCCCAUCUUUUACACAAGGUUGACCUCGGAUCAGGUAGGAAUACCCGCUGAACUUAAGCAUAUCAAUAAGCGGAGGAAAAGAAACCAACAGGGAUUGCCCCAGUAACGGCGAGUGAAGCGGCAACAGCUCAAAUUUGAAAUCUGGCUUCGGCCCGAGUUGUAAUUUGUAGAGGAUGCUUUUGGUGAGGUGCCUUCUGAGUUCCCUGGAACGGGACGCCAGAGAGGGUGAGAGCCCCGUAUAGUUGGACACCGAGCCUCUGUAAAGCUCCUUCGACGAGUCGAGUAGUUUGGGAAUGCUGCUCAAAAUGGGAGGUAUAUCUCUUCUAAAGCUAAAUACUGGCCAGAGACCGAUAGCGCACAAGUAGAGUGAUCGAAAGAUGAAAAGCACUUUGAAAAGAGGGUUAAAUAGUACGUGAAAUUGUUGAAAGGGAAGCGCUUGUGACCAGACUUGUGCCGGGCUGAUCAUCCAGUGUUCUCACUGGUGCACUCUGCCCGGCUCAGGCCAGCGUCGGUUCUCGCAGGGGGACAAAAGCUU
rnacentral:rRNA from 1 species